rnacentral:rRNA from 1 species
UACGUAGGGUGCAAGCGUUGUCCGGAAUUAUUGGGCGUAAAGAGCUCGUAGGCGGUUCGUCGCGUCGGCUGUGAAAUCCCGAGGCUCAACCUCGGGUCUGCAGUCGAUACGGGCGGACUGGAGUUCGGCAGGGGAGACUGGAAUUCCUGGUGUAGCGGUGAAAUGCGCAGAUAUCAGGAGGAACACCGGUGGCGAAGGCGGGUCUCUGGGCAUCUCCUGACGCUGAGGCGCGAAAGCGUGGGGAGCAAACGGG